UACAGAGGGGGCAAGCGUUGUUCGGAAUUACUGGGCGUAAAGGGCGCGUAGGCGGCCUGCUAAGUCGAACGUGAAAUCCCUGGGCUCAACCCAGGAACUGCGUCCGAUACUGGUUGGCUUGAAUCCGGGAGAGGGACGUGGAAUUCCAGGUGUAGCGGUGAAAUGCGCAGAUAUCAGGAGGAACACCGAUGGCGAAGGCAGGUCUCUGGGCCACUACUGACGCUGAGAAGCGAAAGCAUGGGGAGCGAACAGG
rnacentral:rRNA from 1 species